rnacentral:rRNA from 1 species
UUUCUAAUAUUACAUAACAUAAAUGGGGGUAAAGAAAUUUCUUAAGACUUUUAUUCUUUUUGUAUAACGGGUCAACUAGAAUAGUCUUAAAUAAAGAGUUCCCGAAAAUAGAAGAUCUAAUUUAUUCCUUAUUUUAGAAAAUAAGUUAUUAUGUGGAAUUAUAAUAUAAAGAGAAUAAAUUAGGGGCGAAAAACCUACAAUUCUAUUGAUAUCUGGAUUAAAGAUUAAAGUAUUAAGUACUUAAAACAAUUAUAGAGUGUUUAGGCUUUAUAACUAAAGAAUACUUAUUUUAAAAUUACCUUAACUAGUACUAAUAAUUCUAGUUAAAUUUAUAAAUUAGAAAUUAAUUUUAUACUAAUCUUUCUUUUGUCUUUAUAUUAAUUAAAAUUAGAUAGUUAAUUAAAAAUGUUGACAUGAGUAAUAAUAUUUUAUGUAUUAAAAAUAUAGAAAAGGAACUCGGCAAAUUAUACCUUAACUGUUUACCAAAAACAUAGCCUUAAGAUUAUAUUUAAGGUAAUGCCUGCCCAGUGCUAAAGUGUUAACGGCCGCAGUACCUUGACUGUGCUAAGGUAGCAUAAUCAGUUGGCUUUUAAAUGGAGUCGGGAAUGAAUGGAUUUAUAGGGUAAAGCUGUCUCUUUUAUAUUUUAUUGAAUUUAAUUAUUAGGUGAAAAUACCUAAAAUUAAGAAAAAAGACGAGAAGACCCUAGGAGUUUUUACUAAUGGUCAAUUUAAGUUGGCUUCUGGUUUUUGUUGGGGCGACAUAGGAACAAACAACUUCCUUAUUUUAUAGGCCGACUACGUAUGAAUAAUAAAACUACCCUAGGGAUAACAGCGUAAUUCUUUAUGGAGCUUGCGACCUCGAUGUUGGACUAGGAAUUUGAUUGGCUAGCCGCCACUUUAUAUUGUUCUGUUCGAACUUAAUUUCCUACAUGAUCUGAGUUCAGACCGGCGUAAGCCAGGUCAGAUUCUAUCUUUUUUGUUUUGUUUUUAGUACGAAAGGAUUAAAGCAA